UACGUAGGCAGCGAGCGUUGUUCGGAGUUACUGGGCGUAAAGGGUGCGUAGGCGGUUGUUUAAGUUUGGUGUGAAAUCUCCCGGCUCAACUGGGAGGGUGCGCCGAAUACUGAAUGACUAGAGUGCGGGAGAGGAGAGUGGAAUUCCUGGUGUAGCGGUGGAAUGCGCAGAUAUCAGGAGGAACACCUAUAGCGAAGGCAGCUUGCUGGGACGUUACUGACGCUAAGGCGCGAAAGCGUGGGGAGCGAACAGG
rnacentral:rRNA from 1 species